rnacentral:rRNA from 1 species
UGGGGAAUAUUGCACAAUGGGGGAAACCCUGAUGCAGCGACGCCGCGUGAGUGAAGAAGUAUUUCGGUAUGUAAAGCUCUAUCAGCAGGGAAGAAAAUGACGGUACCUGACUAAGAAGCCCCGGCUAACUACGUGCCAGCAGCCGCGGUAAUACGUAGGGGGCAAGCGUUAUCCGGAUUUACUGGGUGUAAAGGGAGCGUAGGUGGUGUGGUAAGUCAGAUGUGAAAGCCCGGGGCUCAACUCCGGGACUGCAUUUGAAACUAUCAGACUAGAGUGCAGGAGAGGUAAGUGGAAUUCCUAGUGUAGCGGUGAAAUGCGUAGAUAUUAGGAGGAACACCAGUGGCGAAGGCGGCUUACUGGACUGUAACUGACACUGAGGCUCGAAAGCGUGGGGAGCAAACAGG